rnacentral:ncRNA from 1 species
CCUUAAAGCUUCAUUUUUAUCAAUUGGCAAAAUUACUUGAACACUUCCUUUUCCAAAAGUUUUUUCUCCAACCAAUACUGCUCUUUUGUGAUCUUGUAAAGAACCACUUACAAUCUCACUUGCACUUGCACUUCCACCAUUUACCAAUACAACUAAAGGGAUAUUUUUAUAAGUUCCAUUUUGUGUUGCUUUGUACUCUCUAUUUUCACUUUUAACUCUUCCUUUUUGUGAAACAAUUAUGCCACUAUCUACAAAAAGAUUAACAGUUCCAACAGCUUGAUCUAAAAGACCUCCAGGAUUGUUUCUUA